GCCUUCAUUUCCUUUUCAACUUCAUAGCAAAACUCCUCCACUCAUAAGUGACCACUUUCUUCAAAUCGUACAUGGCUGCCUUUCUCCAAAUGUCUUAGGCUCAGGUGUCGUAUCCCAUCAUUAACAACCGGCGUUCAUGGUGACCAUAUUCUCUAUAAUACAUAGCAUGGGGAUCAUUCAUGCUGCAUACACAUCAUAAG
rnacentral:lncRNA from 1 species